rnacentral:misc_RNA from 1 species
AGAAGAAUUGAAAAAAAAAAAUCCAAAGAAGUCGAUGUGUGAAGCUGAGACGUUUAAGCAAGAAGAUAAGGCCUUUAGAAUGUAAUUAAAUAGUGACAGUGGCCUAAGAUCUGGCAACGUUUACUAAACAGAAAAAUGAGAUCCUGGAUAAACAGAACUGUGAAUCCAAAUCAUUUUCUUAUACCUUUCAUUGAAUAUGUUGAAAAACAUAUUCCAACAAGGGAUUAUUUUAAUUAUUUUCUUCAUUUAUUAUAAUCAGGAUACAAUUAUUAGCUUGAUCAUUAAUCAUGAUGACACAAGAAUGUUUUAUUUAAGUGCAUUAGAAGUGAAUCAAGAAAGCUUCUAGCCAAGAGCUCAAACUCAACUACGCAAUCUGUGAAUUGCAUUGUGCCAUAAAUGCACAGGUGCCUUAAAGGUUUACACUUCAUCACACCCAUACCUUCACCUUGACCGAAAAAUAGUGCAAGAUUUGCUGUACUUGAAUAAACAACUGAUUGCCAGUAUAAUACUCAUAGCAAAAUAAGACUGCAUAUAAUGUAAUGAGGGAAAUUCUUGCCUAGAGCUAGCCCACCAUAGACAGACAUAAGAAAUAAGGUAUAUGGUGGACCCACCAAUCCAACAUGUUUACAUCUUGGAUUGUGUACCACAUCUACGCAAGAAAAAUCCUAAUGUAUAAUCCAUUCACGCAAAUUAAUUGUACACCAAAUCAAACAAAUUGCAACAAUAUCAUAAUAAUCCAUAGCAAAAUCCAAUCCACCAGCAAUUAAUAACCAAAGCAACAAGCAUAAUUUACUGGAAAAU